rnacentral:sRNA from 1 species
AAUUGUUGUGUGUUUGUCUAUUUUUUUUAAUUAUUAUUGUUAACAAAAAAAUCAAAAAAAAAUGUAAUUUUUUAAACACAUUUCUAAAAACAACAUACAUGUUAUUCAAAAACAAAACACAAUGUUUACAGCUCAAGCAACUAAUAAUUUUGUUUUUUCUCUGAGAAACAACACCUCAAAGUGUGAGAGAGAGAGAGAGAAACACCUAAUAUGGCAGAGAACUCAACAAUGGAAUCAUCUAGGGAAAGCUACCGCAGAAAUAUGGGACCAGGCACUACAUAACAACUACCAAACAAACAUCACAUCAAAAUGCAACAGGGUCCUCCCCAUCCCUAGCCAAUAACAAGAGAAAAAUCUAACACAACCCACCAAAAGGAAGAUAGCACAAAUAGAAUAAUUUAUCUUCAACAUCAUUGAAUUGUAAAGGAGUAUAAGGCGCCCAACAAACACUCUUCAACCAUUCAAGCAGCCAGCAAGAGUCGAAUUAUGUAAAUUUUCAUAAUACCAUCCCUCAUACUUAGCCAUCAUCUCAUUUCAUUCCACAUCGCAUAAAUUUAUAACUUUUUCAUGGGUUUUUUUAAAUAGUCUGUAAGUUUCAAUAUGUAUAUAUAGGUUAUAUAUGUAAUUAUUCUUAUUAUUAUUAUUGUUAAUUAUUUUUAAUGUGUUAAGAAUAAUUGAAUUGAAAAAAAGAAAAUUAACACCUCGAGAGGAGUUAAACCGUGUGGAAAACGUCAAGAGCUGCCGCCUUAACUAAGUACUACCUAACUUCAUAUAAAAAAAAAGAAAAACAAGUUUAAGUACUUGCGCUCAGAUUCGCCCUUCGGCUGGCUUAUCUGAAAUAAAAAAAAAAAAUCGUUCAAUAAAGAAAUUUAAUAAAGAGCAA